ensembl:lncRNA
CCAGCGGCCAGUACACGGCGCCCGUCGCCGGCUUCUACGCGCUCUCCGCCACGCUGCACGCGGGUGAGGCCCGGGGCGGCGGGGGUGGGGGGGGCUGCACCCCAGGCGCGGCCGUGACCGCCCCCCUCCUCCGCAGCGCUCGCGGAGCAGCCCAGGCGGGGGCCGCCGCGCCCCCGGGACCGCCUGCGCCUGCUCAUCUGCAUCCAGUCCCGGUGCCAGCGCAACGCCUCCCUGGAGGCUGUCAUGGGCCUGGAGAGCAGCAGUGAGCUCUUCACCAUCUCGGUAAAUGGCGUUCUGUACCUGCAGACAGGACAGUACACCUCCGUGUUCCUGGACAACGCCAGUGGCUCCCCACUCACGGUGCGCAGUGGCUCCCACUUCAGCGCUGUCCUCCUCGGCGUGUGAGCGGCCAGGCCAGGCCCUUCCUCUCGCGGCCAACAGAAGUGGGGGCCGAACAGUGGGCAGCGUGGAGUGGCGGAGGCCACACGCAGGAGGCGGCCCACUGGAACUGCCCACCGUGGCCACUGCACUUCAGCCGGAGACGGCCAACCACCGCAGCCCAGAGAGGGGACGUGCAAACUGUCCCAGAACAGGAGCAAUUGCAGGAUGGCGUCUUCCAAAAGGAGAAGAGCCCUGUUGGGCUGUCCCUCGGCACACGUCGCUGGUGGGGCUCGGCGCCAGGAGUACUUGCUCUGUUCCUGGCUGCGGGCCGGCUCCCCUCUGGCCUGCAGGGCGCCUGCCCAGCCAGCCUCUGCCUCUGCCUCGGCCCAGCCCCAUCCUUCCCAUCGUUUUUAGUGUUGUGGGCGCCAGCACGCCAGCAGGAGGGGAGAGGCUGGUCACCUGCCCGGACGCCCCAUGGGGCAGGGGUCCCGGUCCCCACCCACCCUUCCCCCAGGGUGCCUUUGGCCUGGACCUCUUGCAGUGACCACAGGACUGGAGUCUCACGGCCUCUUGGCACAGCAGCCUCAGGCACCAGAGCAACACUAGAAAGGGGCUUAUGGGGGGACGGUGAGGAUUAACAUGCUCAAGAUAACUCGUAAGUUCACCUCACAGAUGGCCUUUUCAGAGCCCACCCCCCUCCCCAAGCCUGUCCUAGAGUGGUCCCUCUUCCCAUCCCCUCUGAGGCUCUGACUCACUGCGGGGAUCCACCCACCAAAGGAAAUAUCUAGAAUAUCUUUGCAGAUCAGAGAUGAGCAGGCCCUGCCCACCCAUCUGAACAGAUAAAGCAGAGGCUUCCCGGGAGCCAAGAGCUCCCGUUGCCCACCCCAGGCCCCGCAGAGUCCAGCCAGCUCUGCAUCUUCCCCACUGGGGGAGACACGAGGCCCUGAGCUCAGGUGGAGAGGGGACAGAUGGGAGAUGAUGCUGAGGAAGCUGGGUCCUGAGUCCACUGUGCUGCUCUGGCGGUGACAGGGCCUGGGGGGUAGGGGGCGGCUGUGAGGAGACACGGGCAUUCACCUACAGCAGGUUCCUUCCAAGGUGUGAGGCCCCUCACCCCCUGCAGAGGAAGCUGCCCCCACCGCUUCCCCAAACACGGCAGCCUUGCACACCGUGGCUGCAGGGACCAGGUACCAUGGGGUGCCCUGGGGGCCAGGCUGGUCUGACAGGUGUCCAGGCCUGGAGAGAGGACAAUGGCUGCAGUCACCUGGACUGUCCAGCUGGCCUCAGGAGGAACAGGUGACCCAGCCAGGUCUGAGGGACCCCCAGCGCCCGCAGCUUCCCUCCCCACUGAGAACCCAGCCCUUCCGGCCAGGGGGCCCCGGGCGCCCUACACGUAGAACAGCCACGGGGUGCCCUUGGCAGGCCCGGUGCGAUUCUCAGUAGGGCUGGUACCCACCCUACCAGGAAGCGCUGGCCUGUGUCCUGCCUCCCCUCGCACUCUGAUAAGGGCUGGGGCCACACCCUUCUCUGGAUUUUACUCUGCACCC